rnacentral:tRNA from 1 species
UAGCGCGGUAGAGAAGCCUGGAGUUCUCGCCGGGCCCAUAACCCGGAAGUCGCAUGGUUCAAAUCCUGCCCGCGCUAU